rnacentral:lncRNA from 1 species
AUGGGGAAAAGAGAGACUUACAGAGACAGGGUAGUCGGCAAAACACGGCUCAAGUCAGGAUGCCUCCAGCAGGUGAAUGCAGCUGGGGAAGUGCAUACAGGACAUAACUAUGGAGGAUCCUCUUGCACCCCUCCUGGGAAACCUGCAUGCUCGAUCACCUCUCUGAAAUGCCUGUACACCAAUGCACGCAGCAUGGGGAACAAACAGGAAGAACUAGAGAUGUGUGUGCAGUUGCAGGAGCAGGAUCUCAUUGCCAUUCCAGAGACAUGGUGGGAUAGCUCGCAUGACUGGAGUGAUGUCAUGGACGGCUACAUGCUUUUUAGGAAAGACAGGCCAGGUAAUCGAGGUGGUGGAGUUGCUCUUUAUGUGAGAGAGCACCUGGAAUGUAUUGAGCUGUGCCUAGGGGAGGAUGAAGAGCGAGUCGAGAGCCUAUGGGUAAGGAUUAAAGGGCAGGCUAGCAUGGGUGACACUGUUGUGGGUGUUUGCUACAGGCCACCUGAUCAGGAAGAGGAAGUCGAUGAGGCCUUCUACAGACAGCUGGAAGUAGCCUCACAAUCCCAGGCCCUGGGCAUUGGUGACAACUUCUUGACACAGGUGGUGGAGGAGCCAACAAGGAGAGGUGUGCUGCUGGACCUCAUACUAACAAACAAAGAAGAACUAGUUGAAGAUGUGAAGGUUGGGGGCAGCCUUGGCUGCAGUGACCAUGAGAUGGUGGAGUUCAGGAUCCUGCGAGGAGGAGGCAGGGCACUAAGUAGGAUCACAACCCUGGACUUCAGGAGAGCAAACUUUGGCCUCUUCAGGGACCUACUUGGAGGAAUCCCAUGGGUGAGGGCCCUAGAAGGAAGGGGCGUUCAAGAGAGCUGGUUAAUAUUCAAGCAUCACCUCCUCCAGGCUCAAGAUCGGUGCAUCCCUUUGAGUAGGAAGUCAAGCAAAGGAGGUAGGAGACCUGCAUGGAUGAGCAAGGAGCUCCUGGCAAAAUUCAAAGAGAAGGAGGAAGUGCACAGAAGAUGGAAUCAGGGACAGGCCACUUGGGAGGAAUAUAGGAACGUUGUCAGAGUAUGCAGGGAUGUGACGAGGAAGGCUAAGGCCCAUUUGGAAUUAAAUCUGGCAAGAGAUGUCAAGGACAGCAAGAAGGGCUUCUUCAAAUACAUCAGUAGCAAGAGGAAGACUAGGGAAAACGUGGGCCCUUUGCUGAAUGGGGUGGGUGCCCUGGUGACAAAGGAUGCAGAGAAGGCAGAGUUACUGAAUGCCUUCUUUGCUUCAGUCUUUACUGGACAGGCCAGCCCUCAGGACCCCCAGACCCUGGAGUCAAGAGAGAAAGUCUGGAGAAAGGAAGACUUUCCCUUGGUGGAGGAGGAUUGGGUUAGAGAUCAUUUAAGCAAACUUGACACCCACAAAUCCAUGGGCCCCAAUGGGACGCACCCACGAGUGCUGAGGGAGCUGGCGGACAUUAUUGCUAAGCCACUCUCCAUCAUCUUUGAAAGGUCAUGGAGAAGAGGAGAGGUGCCUGAGGACUGGAAGAAAGCCAAUGUCACCGCAGUCUUCAAAAAGGGCAAGAAGGAGGACCCAGGGAACUACAGGCCAGUCAGCCUCACCUGCAUCCCUGGAAAGGUGAUGGAGCAGCUCAUCCUGGAGGCCAUCUCCAAGCAUGUGGAGGACAAGAAGGUGAUCAGGAGUAGUCAGCAUGGCUUCACCAAGGGGAAAUCAUGUUUAAACAGCCUUUUAUAA